UUAUUUGGUUUACAGGUCACAGUCCAUCCUCAAGGGAUGUCAAGGUAGGAGCUCAAGAUUCAAGACUCAAAGUACCAAGCUGGAGUAAAGUUCACUCUAUAAAGACUAGAGCAGAGCUCUAGAUGACAGAGCGCUGACAGUGUAGAGUCACAGGAGGGGCUUAGUGAGAACAGACAAAGCCUAUUAUUCCAGGAACCAAUCCUCUGACAAGAGGGAUGACUUUUCUACCAGUAGCCAGCCUGUGCGCUUAGCCACAUAAUGAAACUACCUUUCCCAGUUGGCCUUGAAGUUCCUAACAGCCAGGAUUUGAAUCUUGCCCAGUGGAGUCUAAUCUGGGUCUCUAAGUUCCAAGUGUUUGCAUUCCUUACACUGAGAUUCAUCUGCUGAAGUCAAAAUCUCCAGUGUGAUGCCAACAGAAGGUGGAACCUUAUGGAAGGCAAGCAAGCUGAGGAACCCAUGAAGAGCAAGUCGGAAAGUAUCUUUUGAUACAGAAGCCAGAAAUUCUUCCACGGUUGCUGCCUCUGUUCCUGCUUGAGUUCCUGCCCCGAUUUCCCUCAGGAAGGGCUCUGUAAUCACGAUGUGUAAAGCAAGCAACCCCAUUUCUCUCCAGUUUAAACCACCACCACCACAACAAAGUUCAGUUCCGUAGGCCCUGUUACAACAAAGGCUGCUCUCACAACAGAAAGUACAAGUAGGUGGUCAACUUCAGUGGCAGCUAGCUGUACAGUACCAUCUCAGCGGGCACACAAGAUAAACAAGUCUUCAGGGCAUGGCUACCUUCACCUGAAUGCCAAAGAAUGGCCAAGGGUGUCUCAGGACCCAGAAAGGGAACAGUGAAGGUGUAGACUUAAUUAGAGUCACACAGCCCACUCAGAUCAUGUCCAGUGGAGCCAUGGGCUCCAUGAGACCUCAGGACAGAAGGGCCAUUAGCGUAUCAUCCCACUGUGAAAGCUACAGGCAUACAAUAUCAACAGAGCCACAAAAAUCAACCCUGGGCGCAAGCCCACCAACCAAGAAGCUCUAGAAGGUGUGCCCUCUACUCUGGUGAUCCCAAGAGGCAGAGCCUUGAGACAAAGAUUGUUUUCCAGGUGAAAGACUUUGGACCUUCUGAGAAUGCUUGACUCCUGCCUUCUUGUCUGCUUCUCCCUUUGGACUGGGAAUGCCCAGCUCUUGACUGUCCUGUAAGUGUAGUCAGGACACCUAUAAAAUGUCUGGUUCCAUGGGUUCACAGCUGGAAAGCAAUGCACCCCAGGAUAAACAGCACCUCGUACUGUUAUCCAUGGCUGAUUAAGUGAUACUGAGAAAAGACCUCGGAUGGCUGGAAUGUGGGUCUGGAGUGCCUGUCACUGGACUGUUGCAAUCCUAACCUCAAGUGGACGAUAGGAGGAAUAAUGGGUCUCUUCUGGGAAGUGACGGAGAGUAGAGACAUCAUCCAUGAGAUCAGUAGAUGAUCAAAGGCCUGGAGCUGCUUGGUCACUUCCACUGUGUGCAGACACAGUGCAAAAGGAACUGUUUGUACACCAUGAAUUAACUUCUCACCAGCCAUGGAAUCUGACAGCACUGUGAUUUGACAUCCCAGCUGACAAAUCGAUCAGAAAUAAAUUCCCAUUUCUAAGCCACUCAGCCUAUUGGAUUUGGGAUUAUAGCAGCCCAAAGUGAUAUAAGACUGUCCCUGCUCCCUCCUCUGAAUGCUUGGCAGGUCACCCCACUACCAAC
rnacentral:lncRNA from 1 species